CCUACGGGAGGCAGCAGUGAGGAAUAUUGGUCAAUGGACGAGAGUCUGAACCAGCCAAGUAGCGUGAAGGAUGACUGCCCUAUGGGUUGUAAACUUCUUUUAUAUGGGAAUAAAACGUUCCACGUGUGGGAUUUUGUAUGUACCAUAUGAAUAAGGAUCGGCUAACUCCGUGCCAGCAGCCGCGGUAAUACGGAGGAUCCGAGCGUUAUCCGGAUUUAUUGGGUUUAAAGGGAGCGUAGAUGGGUUGUUAAGUCAGUUGUGAAAGUUUGCGGCUCAACCGUAAAAUUGCAAUUGAUACUGGCAGUCUUGAGUACAGUUGAGGUAGGCGGAAUUCGUGGUGUAGCGGUGAAAUGCUUAGAUAUCACGAAGAACUCCGAUUGCGAAGGCAGCUUACUAAACUGCCACUGACAUUGAUGCUCGAAAGUGUGGGGAUCAAACAGGAUUAGAUACCCUGGUAGUC
rnacentral:rRNA from 1 species